rnacentral:rRNA from 1 species
GAUGAACGCUGGCGGCGUGCCUAAUACAUGCCAGUCGAGCGAACAGACGAGGAGCUUGCUCCUCUGACGUUAGCGGCGGACGGGUGAGUAACACGUGGAUAACCUACCUAUAAGACUGGGAUAACUUCGGGAAACCGGAGCUAAUACCGGAUAAUAUAUUGAACCGCAUGGUUCAAUAGUGAAAGACGGUUUUGCUGUCACUUAUAGAUGGAUCCGCGCCGCAUUAGCUAGUUGGUAAGGUAACGGCUUACCAAGGCGACGAUGCGUAGCCGACCUGAGAGGGGGAUCGGCCCAACUGGAACUGAGACCGGGCCCAGAACCCUACGGGGGGCAGAGGUGGGGAAUUUUCCGAAAGGGGGGAAAGCCUGACGGAGCAACGCCGGGGGGGUGAGGAAGGUCUGCGGAUGGUAAAACCUUUUUUUUAGGGAAAAAAAAAUGUGUAAGUAACUAUGACCGUCUGGAGGGUACCAAAUAAAAAAGCCCCGGCUAACUACGG